rnacentral:rRNA from 1 species
UACAGAGGUCUCAAGCGUUGUUCGGAUUCAUUGGGCGUGAAGGGUGCGUAGGCGGCGCGGUAAGUCGGGUGUGAAAUCUUGGAGCUUAACUCCGAAACUGCAUUCGAUACUGCCGUGCUUGAGGACUAGAGAGGAGACUGGAAUUUACGGUGUAGCGGUGAAAUGCGUAGAUAUCGUAAGGAAGACCAGUGGCGAAGGCGGGUCUCUGGACAGUUCCUGACGCUGAGGCACGAAGGCCAGGGGAGCAAACGGG